rnacentral:rRNA from 1 species
GGUUAAGCGACUAAGCGUACACGGUGGAUGCCCUGGCAGUCAGAGGCGAUGAAGGACGUGCUAAUCUGCGAUAAGCGUCGGUAAGGUGAUAUGAACCGUUAUAACCGGCGAUUUCCGAAUGGGGAAACCCAGUGUGUUUCGACACACUAUCAUUAACUGAAUCCAUAGGUUAAUGAGGCGAACCGGGGGAACUGAAACAUCUAAGUACCCCGAGGAAAAGAAAUCAACCGAGAUUCCCCCAGUAGCGGCGAGCGAACGGGGAGCAGCCCAGAGCCUGAAUCAGUGUGUGUGUUAGUGGAAGCGUCUGGAAAGGCGCGCGAUACAGGGUGACAGCCCCGUACACAAAAAUGCACAUAUUGUGAGCUCGAUGAGUAGGGCGGGACACGUGGUAUCCUGUCUGAAUAUGGGGGGACCAUCCUCCAAGGCUAAAUACUCCUGACUGACCGAUAGUGAACCAGUACCGUGAGGGAAAGGCGAAAAGAACCCCGGCGAGGGGAGUGAAAAAGAACCUGAAACCGUGUACGUACAAGCAGUGGGAGCCUCUUUUAUGGGGUGACUGCGUACCUUUUGUAUAAUGGGUCAGCGACUUAUAUUCUGUAGCAAGGUUAACCGAAUAGGGGAGCCGAAGGGAAACCGAGUCUUAACUGGGCGUUAAGUUGCAGGGUAUAGACCCGAAACCCGGUGAUCUAGCCAUGGGCAGGUUGAAGGUUGGGUAACACUAACUGGAGGACCGAACCGACUAAUGUUGAAAAAUUAGCGGAUGACUUGUGGCUGGGGGUGAAAGGCCAAUCAAACCGGGAGAUAGCUGGUUCUCCCCGAAAGCUAUUUAGGUAGCGCCUCGUGAAUUCAUCUCCGGGGGUAGAGCACUGUUUCGGCAAGGGGGUCAUCCCGACUUACCAACCCGAUGCAAACUGCGAAUACCGGAGAAUGUUAUCACG